UACGAAGGGGGCUAGCGUUGCUCGGAAUUACUGGGCGUAAAGGGCGCGUAGGCGGCGUGAUCAGUCAGGCGUGAAAUUCCUGGGCUUAACCUGGGGGCUGCGCUUGAUACGGUCGUGUUAGAGGGCAGAAGAGGGUCGUGGAAUUCCCAGUGUAGAGGUGAAAUUCGUAGAUAUUGGGAAGAACACCGGUGGCGAAGGCGGCGACCUGGUCUGUUACUGACGCUGAGGCGCGAAAGCGUGGGGAGCAAACAGG
rnacentral:rRNA from 1 species